rnacentral:rRNA from 1 species
CAGCCGCCGCGGGAAUACGUAGGUCCCGAGCGUUGUCCGGAUUUAUUGGGCGUAAAGCGAGCGCAGGCGGUUAGAUAAGUCUGAAGUUAAAGGCUGUGGCUUAACCAUAGUAUGCUUUGGAAACUGUUUAACUUGAGUGCAGAAGGGGAGAGUGGAAUUCCAUGUGUAGCGGUGAAAUGCGUAGAUAUAUGGAGGAACACCGGUGGCGAAAGCGGCUCUCUGGUCUGUAACUGACGCUAAGGCUCGAAAGCGUGGGGAGCAAACAGGAUUAGAUACCCCUGUAGUCCCUGUCUCUUAUACA